AGGGAAUAGAUACCCGGGUAGUCCACGCCGUAAACUAUGGAUGCUAGCUGUUGGCCGUAUCGACCCGGUCAGUAGCGAAAGCUAAACGCGUUAAGCAUCCCGCCUGUGGAGUACGGUCGCAAGACUAAAACAUAAAGGAAUUGACGGGGACCCGCACAAGCGGUGGAGCGUGUUGUUUAAAUUCGAUGCUAAGCGAAGAACCUUACCCAGGUUUGACAUCUUCGGAAUUACUACGAAAGUAGUGAGUGCCUUCGGGAACCGAAUGACAGGUGAUGCAUGGCCGUCGUCAGCUCGUGUCGUGAGAUGUUUGGUUGAGUCCAUCAACGAGCGCAACCCUUAUGAAUAGUUGUAUUUUUCUAUUCAGACUGCCUCGGUAACGGGGAGGAAGGAGGGGAUGAGGUCAGGUCAGUAUUUCCCUUACAUCUGGGGGCUACAAACACGCUACAAUGGCCGGUACAAAGGGCAGCCAACCCGCGAGGGGGGCAAAUCCCAUCAAAGCCGGUCUCAGUUCGGAUUGCAGGCUGAAACUCGCCUGCAUGAAGCUGGAAUC
rnacentral:rRNA from 1 species